rnacentral:rRNA from 1 species
GUGGAUUAGAUACCCUGGUAGUCCACGCUGUAAACUAUGGAUGCUAGCUGUGACACACAUCGACCUGUGUCGUAGCGAAGUUAACGCGUUAAGCAUCCCGCCUGGGGAGUACGGUCGCAAGAUUAAAACUCAAAGGAAUUGACGGGGACCCGCACAAGCGGUGGAGCGUGUUGUUUAAUUCGAUGGUAAGCGAAGAACCUUACCAAGGCUUGAAAUCCCGAGAAGGAUCUCGAAAGAGAACUGUGCUUUAUUGAACUCGGUGACAGGUGAUGCACGGCCGUCGACAACU